CACUGCCCAGGAGUUACCAUAUGAUCAGUUACACCUUUUGGUUUACUUUCUUUUAGAUAAAUAAGAUUUCAGUAUUUUACUUAAGCUUGAAAACCUUCACUGCACAUGAACACUUUUAGAUACAAUAUUAAAAUUGUCUUGAUUUACAUUCAUUCUAUUAUUUAUGAAACACAGAAGUAAUGAGAAAUUUGUAAAUGAAAAAAUAAAUAAGGUAUAAAAGCCAGUGUCGGUUCUAGGCGAGCAUAUAUGCGAGGGCAGUCGUAAAUGUGAAGGGAGCAUCGUGGGUACAGAUCAUGCUACAGCAGCAAUUUUCUGGGGGAGUUUUUGCUUAUGACAGUGUUUUCUCCAUGGAAUUGGUUAUUAGCUAUGCAUCCAACCCCCAACCUGGAGACGUGGAGUGCACUUUAUCAGGCCUCUACCCUACGACCUGUCCAGCUUGGGUGUCCCACCUGAAGACUAAGCUUCUGUUGGAAUAGCUCCUAAGGUCACUGAGGCAUGCAAACCCCCUGACCAUGAUAAGGUGGCAAUCCCUUAGGGUGGAAAAUGAAAAAUAAACAUAAAGGAUCCCUCACCCAGAUUUUAACAAUUAACACCAUAACAUAGUUUCUCAGUCGGAUGAGCCUAAUCCUCAAAAUGUGAACUAACAGUAAGACCAUAGCCAGUAUUUACAAAGUGAAAGUUAGUCUUAUUAAAAAUAAUGCCAAGCCUUCUCUCAAACCUUUCAAAUAAAUGUAUAACACAUCUGUGCAUCUGUGGCUGAGAGACGCUCCACUCCAACGGGAACUGACAAAUAUAGAUAGACAGAUGUUAUGUUUACUUUUGUUUUUUGUUGUUAAUUAUCUCCCCACGACCAAUAUGACGGUGCUUUGCCGCUUCCUCCAGGUCUUACCGUUAAACUUAUCUGUGUUGUGUUGCCUCCUUCUCACUGAAAUCUUGCACUCUACGCGCGGCCAUGUUGUGUCUCGGGAACGAGAAUCCUCGCUAGCUUACAGCGGACAGUUUGAUGUGUAAAAUUAAAGAUAGAAAUGAAUUGACGACUCCAAACCGAGCCUUCAUUGAUGUUGUGGUUUAGCGUUGCAUUUAUCAGUCACUUGUCAACCUUUGUUCUCGAAGGUAUUUUUUAAAUUAAUAUAUUAGCCUCGUAAGGAUUGACUGAUAUUACAAUGUAGGUAAUUUUUGGUAACUCCCAUCAAUUUACCUCAUUUGUGAUCUGUGCAGUAUGUCUUUUUAUAUACAGUCUAUGGUGUCUUAAGAUCAUUAAACCAGUCAUCCGUUCAUAUUUACUUAUAUUCAAGGCUGAAACUGUCUCAAUGUGGUAAAUCCUCAUCAUGUGUAGAAGAUCACGGACGGGGCCAGGCGGAUCAGAUUCGACCGGAUAAUCAGCGUUUUCUGCCAAUGACGUGUGUCGUGAUUGGCAGCAACGUGUCUCCUCAUUGGCCACGAGGAGCGCAGAGAGGCGGAGAAACGAAGUCGGAAAACAGAUUUAAACCAAGUUUGAAACAUUGCCUCUGUUUGCUAGUACUGUGAGAUAACGUCGUCACCUCACCGAAGAAGUCUGGAUGCUAAAACAAACUCUGGAGCUGCUUUUUUUGUCGUUAAUGAAAAGGCCUGGAUGCUUAAACAAACUCUGGAGCUGCUUUUUUCUUGAACAGGAGUGAGACAGGACGCUGAACACACCUGCAGCGCGAAGGUGUCACCACUUUGUCCAUGAUCGCAGAGUGUCUUUGUACAAUAAAGAAGUUUUUUUGAAACCAGGACUGAGGCCUCCAGGAUUCAAACUUAAACCAUUAAAUCAGAGAGAGAAGAGGCAGACGUAAAGACAUUUCCAGAAGGUAUUUGGCUGCUGUUGUCUUCUCCUCCUGCAGAGACAAGAACACGUGUUAAUCACAGACACUGAUAAAUGUAUUUUUCCUUUCCUGAAUCUUACCUUUUUUCCCCCCCAGACACACAUACUCACACCUCUACACAGCAUUUAUGGUUACAUUUCGUGUUUGUCAUUUCAUUUUCGAAUUUUGCCAUUUCAAACAGAGCCAUAUCAAUAGUCAAAUCCAAUCUAUUACUAUGUACAUAGUCCUGUUUAUAAUUUUUACGUUACAUUACUCUUGCUUAAAUAAAUACUUCUGAAUACUGAGUAUUUUGCCUGUUUUUUUAAUAUUGUAUGAAAGUGAAUAUCUGUAGCCAAAAGGCCACUUG